UACGUAGGGUGCAAGCGUUAAUCGGAAUUACUGGGCGUAAAGCGUGCGCAGGCGGUUGUGCAAGACCGAUGUGAAAUCCCCGGGCUUAACCUGGGAAUGGCAUUGGUGACUGCACGGCUGGAGUGCGGCAGAGGGGGAUGGAAUUCCGCGUGUAGCAGUGAAAUGCGUAGAUAUGCGGAGGAACACCGAUGGCGAAGGCAAUCCCCUGGGCCUGCACUGACGCUCAUGCACGAAAGCGUGGGGAGCAAACAGG
rnacentral:rRNA from 1 species